rnacentral:rRNA from 1 species
GCUGAAGAGAGGAGCUUGCUCCUCUUGGAUGAGUUGCGAACGGGUGAGUAACGCGUAGGUAACCUGCCUUGUAGCGGGGGAUAACUAUUGGAAACGAUAGCUAAUACCGCAUAACAAUGGAUGACACAUGUCAUUUAUUUGAAAGGGGCAAUUGCUCCACUACAAGAUGGACCUGCGUUGUAUUAGCUAGUAGGUGAGGUAACGGCUCACCUAGGCGACGAUACGUAGCCGACCUGAGAGGGUGAUCGGCCACACUGGGACUGAGACACGGCCCAGACUCCUACGGGAGGCAGCAGUUGGGAAUCUUCGGCAAUGGGGGCAACCCUGACCGAGCAACGCCGCGUGAGUCAAGAAGGUUUUCGGAUCGUAAAGCUCUGUUCGUAGUCAAGAACGAGUNUUANAAUUGAAAGUUCACACUGUGACGGUAGCUUACCAGAAAGGGACGGCUAACUACGUGCCAGCAGCCGCGGUAAUACGUAGGUCCCGAGCGUUGUCCGGAUUUAUUGGGCGUAAAGCGAGCGCAGGCGGUUUGAUAAGUCUGAAGUUAAAGGCUGUGGCUCAACCAUAGUUCGCUUUGGAAACUGUCAAACUUGAGUGCAGAAGGGGAGAGUGGAAUUCCAUGUGUAGCGGUGAAAUGCGUAGAUAUAUGGAGGAACACCGGUGGCGAAGGCGGCUCUCUGGUCUGUAACUGACGCUGAGGCUCGAAGGCGUGGGGGGCGAACAGGAUUAGAUACCCUGGUAGUCCACGCCGUAAACGAUGAGUGCUAGGUGUUGGAUCCUUUCCGGGAUUCAGUG